rnacentral:miRNA from 1 species
AACGUUCCUCGAUUUCGCGAU